GUGGCUAUCCACUCCAUCUCAAUCUCACAACUUUCAGCGACGGAUGUCUCGGCUCGAACAACGAUGAAGGGCGCAGCGAAGUGUGAUAAACAUUGUGAAUUGCAGAAUUCCGUGAACCAAUAGGGAUUUGAACGUAUACUGCGCUUUCGGGAUAUCCCUGAAAGCAUGCCUGCUUCAGUGCCUCUA
rnacentral:rRNA from 1 species